rnacentral:rRNA from 1 species
CAGGGCUAACACAUGCAAGUCGAGCGCACUCUUCGGAGUGAGCGGCGGACGGGUUAGUAACGCGUGGGAACGUGCCCUUCUCUAAGGAAUAGCCACUGGAAACGGUGAGUAAUACCUUAUACGCCCUUCGGGGGAAAGAUUUAUCGGAGAAGGAUCGGCCCGCGUUAGAUUAGAUAGUUGGUGGGUAACGGCCUACCAAGUCUACGAUCUAUAGCUGGUUUUAGAGGAUGAUCAGCAACACUGGGACUGAGACACGGCCCAGACUCCUACGGGAGGCAGCAGUGGGGAAUCUUGGACAAUGGGCGCAAGCCUGAUCCAGCCAUGCCGCGUGAGUGAUGAAGGCCUUAGGGUCGUAAAGCUCUUUCGCCAGAGAUGAUAAUGACAGUAUCUGGUAAAGAAACCCCGGC